rnacentral:rRNA from 1 species
CCUACGGGUGGCAGCAGUGAGGAAUAUUGGUCAAUGGACGCAAGUCUGAACCAGCCAUGCCGCGUGCAGGAAGAAGGCUCUCUGAGUUGAAAACUGCUUUUGUACGAGGGUAAACGCAUAUACGCGUAUCUGUCUGAAAGUAUCGUACGAAUAAGGAUCGGCUAACCCCGUGCCAGCAGCCGCGGUAAUACGGAGGAUUCAAGCGUUAUCCGACUUUAUUGGGUUGAAAGGGUGCGGGGGAGGUCGGAUAAGUGAGAGGUGAAAUCCCAAGGCUCAACUUCGGAAUUGCCUCUGAUACUGUUCGGCUAGAGAGUAGUAGCGGUAGGCGGAAUGUAUGGUGUAGCGGUGAAAUGCUUAGAGAUCAUACAGAACACCGAUUGCGAAGGCAGCUUACCAAGCUACUUCUGACGUUGAGGCACGAAAGCGUGGGGAGCAAACAGGAUUAGAUACCCGUGUAGUC